rnacentral:rRNA from 1 species
UACGUAGGCAGCAAGCGUUGUUCGGAAUUACUGGGCGUAAAAAGUGUGUAGGCGGUGUUCUAAGUUUGUCGUGAAAUCUCCCGGCUUAACUGGGAGGGUGCGGCGAAAACUGGAAUGCUAGAGGAUGGGAGAGGUAAGCGGAAUUCCUGGUGUAGCGGUGAAAUGCGUAGAUAUCAGGAGGAACACCUGUGGUGGAGACAGCUUACUGGACCAUUUCUGACGCUGAGACACGAAAGCGUGGGUAGCAAACAGG